ACGUAGGGGGCAAGCGUUGUUCGGAAUUACUGGGCGUAAAGGGCACGUAGGCGGUUUAGUAAGUCGGUCGUGAAAGACCACAGCUCAACUGUGGGAUUUCGUUGGAAACUGUUAAACUUGAGUAACGGAGAGGGAGCUGGAAUUCCUGGUGUAGAGGUGAAAUGCGUAGAUAUCAGGAGGAAUACCGGUGGCGAAGGCGACUUUCUGGCAGAAUACUGACGCUGAUGUGCGAAAGUGUGGGGAUCAAACAG
rnacentral:rRNA from 1 species